GGAACACAGGUGCUGCGAUGGCUGUCGUUCAGCUCGUGUCGUGAGAUGUUGGUUAAGUCCCGCAACGAGCGCACCCUUAUCAUUAGUUGCUACGCAAGGGCACGUCUAAUGAGACUGCCGGUGACAAACCGGAGGAAGUGGGGAUGACGUCAAGUCCUCAUGGCCCUUAUGGGUAGGGCUUCACACGUCAUACAAUGGUCGGUACAGAGGGUUGCCAAGCCGCGAGGCGGAGCCAAUCCCACAAAGCCGAUCGUAGUCCGGAUUGUUCUCUGCAACUCGAGAGCAUGAAGUCGGAAUCGCUAGUAAUCGCAGGUCAGCAUACUGCGGUGAAUACGUUCCCGGGUCUU
rnacentral:rRNA from 1 species